UGCUAACCACAUCUGAAUACCUUUGGCUGUUCAAUUUCCAUUUCUACAAUUUCUAGACUAGCAUAUUAUCUCUAUUUUUAUAGAACAACAAUCACGCUCGAUAUUUUAUUCCAAGUAAUUUCCCUGAAUAUUUAUAUACAUAAUUUAGUUUAUUAUAAUAUCUUCUCAUCUUAUAUGAACAGCUAUUUUUGUAUAUAAAUGCAAAGCGCUAUUUCGAGUAUAAUCAAACCGUUAGUGGCUGUUCUAGAGGAACUUUCUUAGCAAAUACUCAGAACCGUCCUUGAAAAAAAAUAAUUCAGCAAAAAUGCGUACGUUCGGCGUUUGCUUAGUACUGGUGUUCUUCGUGGCGAUGCUGGUCGGCACCAGCGGUAAUCCCGUCGGCGAUAAUGUUCCUCACAUUAGAGGCAGCCGAUCAUCCGGUGAUUCAACAAUCUUUGUCAACUGUCGACGACCAGCAAGGACAUGAGAAUGAAGGCGAUCGCUUGGCACGGGGCUACGGAGGCCACCAUGGUGAGCAUCAUGACGGGUAUUAUGGUUGGCAUCAUGGUGGGCAUCAUGGUUAGAGUCACUACAAAUUAAAAAAAAAUAUAUAUAUCUUUAUUUUGAAUUGUGAAAGUAAACAUUUGAUUUAACAAAUUAUUGGAAUAAAACUAAAAAACUUGCAAGAAUAAA